rnacentral:misc_RNA from 1 species
GAUGAAGAACGUAGUGAAAUGCGAUACGUAGUGUGAAUUGCAGAAUUCAGUGAAUCAUCGAAUCUUUGAACGCACAUUGCACCUCUCGGUAUUCCGGGAGGUAUGCCUGUUCGAGCGUCAUUUGUACCCUCAAGCUCUGCUUGGUGUUGGGUGUUUGUUCCGCCUCUGUGUGUGAACUCGCCUCAAAACAAUUGGCAGCCGGCAUACUUGUUUCGGAGCGCAGCACAUUUUGCGAUCCAGAUCAACGUACAGCGGCAUCCAAGAAGCCUUAUUUAACGCUCUUGACCUCGGAUCAGGUAGGGAUACCCGCUGAACUUAAGCAUAUCAAUAAGCGGAGGA